rnacentral:rRNA from 1 species
GCACGUAGUUAGCCGGUGCUUAUUCUUCAGGUACCGUCAUUAGCAAGAGAUAUUAGCUCUCACCGUUUCUUCCCUGACAAAAGAGCUUUACAACCCGAAGGCCUUCUUCACUCACGCGGCAUUGCUGGAUCAGGCUUUCGCCCAUUGUCCAAAAUUCCCCA